GAAAACACAGUGACGAAGAGAGUACCUGUAUUUUGUGUUCACAGAGAAGUCUCCCAUGGCUGAGAGGAGACAGACAGAGAUAGAGGGAAGAUGGCUUCUGAGAGGCGCACCGAAGCACAGGUCUUGUGCCAAGGCUGCGACAGGGUCCGCCUGUUACAGCGGUAAGGUAUAUCGGCAGAUGUACCUGAUGAGGUCUGUGCUGUGAGGUACAGACGAACAGAAGUGGUAACACGGGCUGACGCUCGUCUUCUUU
rnacentral:ncRNA from 1 species